rnacentral:antisense_RNA from 1 species
CUUACGCUGGGAGGAGAUGCUGCCACCUAGGUUACUUGUAGGACCCUUUACGGCAACCUCCCUUGCCAGGAACUAUUUAGGAACAUUCUGAGUCUAUAUGUCAGAAUACACACUGCCCACCUUGCCCAACAGUAGAAAAAUAUAAGAAGAGAAAAACAUUAAAAAAUGACAAGGAAAUUAAUGGAAGUCAGCAAUGUGAUGGUGUUUGGAGGUGGAGCCUUCAGAAGGUAAUUAAUGCCCUUGUAAGAAGAGGCCAGAGAGCUUGAUCACCUUCUUCCUGCCACGUGAGGAGCCAAGAAGCCGGCUGUCUGCAACCUGCAAGAGGACCCUCACUAGAAGCUAGCCAUACUGGCACCCUCAUCUUGGCUUUCCAACUUCCAGAACUGUGAGAAGUAUGUUUGUGGUUUAGUCAAUGGUCUAUGGUAAUUUGUUAUAGCAGUCCCAGCCAAGACAGU